rnacentral:lncRNA from 1 species
UGAAUUUUUUUCAUUGGAUGGCGGCGUCCUUGGUCAUACGUCGCGCCGCACCGCCAAUCGAUUCUGCGCGGCGCUUUUGUCUUUACCCUCCCGUGCGCGUGCCAACAAAAGACCAAAGCAAACCGACCCCGCUGAUUCUCGAUCUCGAAUGGCAAUUUGCACCGCUGUGCGCCGUUGGCUUGUGUGCAUAGCGGCCGCGGUCAACGUCAUGCCUGUAGAUGUCUCGCAAAAUCAAGGCACGCAUGCGGCGCCUACCUAUCUGGUCGUCUUUGGUGUGCCUUGUUUGGCGCGGCAUGUCCGCAAGGCGACCCAAAGAGAUGCAGAGAGAAAAAUCGCAACCCAUGUCUUUUGGAGGAGAAAACAAAUGACAGGGUGGAAAAAAAUGCGGCUCUUUGAACAAGCGGUCGCGAGUGGAAACAAAAAAUAGAUAAUCAGAGAGAAAAAAAGGCGAAAAAAAUAAAAGGAGGAAAAUACGCGG